rnacentral:rRNA from 1 species
AUGCAGUACACUGGACCAACCUACCGCUUCCCACCCACCGCGUCGGAGAGGCUCUAUACUGCCGGCGUGUAUGUUGAGCGUACACUACGUGUGUGGGCGAUAUCAAGGUGGAGGACCGCAAGGGGCUUCGCCGAGUUCUUCCUCACGUCCGGCUACCGCCACCUCCCACGUGGAUCUCCAAGGAUGUUCCGCGUCGAGGAGGUCAUCCAAAACGGGGUGGUGGUUGCUAUCUGUGCCCGCUUCACCAACCCCUUCGAUGCCUUCUACCUUCUCGGGCGCGUGUUUUGGUGUGGUUGCAAGUUCAUCGCUUUCAUCACCCACAACAUCCUCACAGAGUACAGCAACAUCUUCCCCACCGCGUCGCACACGCACACUCUGCCGUACCACAUUGACAACACGCCGAAGGAGCAGUGA